CUUGGCAAUUGUCUCUCUCCAGCUUUCCUGUAGCAUGGCUCACCUCUUCCCAAAACAAUCCCUUGGAUGUUGUGAAAAGAAAGGGAAAAAUGGAGAAGCACAAGGAUUUUAUGGCCUGGGCAGGACAACAGCACAGGCUGAGGACUCUGUGUUUCUUUAUUUGGAGUGUUCCAUGGGAUGGGGAGGAAUGGGAUGUGGAAGAGCAAACCAAAGAGCAGCUUUCCUUUAGUGUGCCUGUUUUUUAGGAAAGUUUUUCCUCCUGUUGCCAAUUCCUGGCCUUUCAGGUACUCUUUAUGUAAGGCAUAAAUGAAAACAUAAAUGAAAACACCUGAGUUUAUGUGGCUGCUGAAGGAAUUUACCUCAUUUGCAUACCCUGAGAAAAAUCACAGAAGGUUUUAUAUCCAAAAUCCUCAUUCCAGGGGAGGUCAGGCUGCAGAUUUCUCUCAGCUAUCACAGAUAUCACAGACAGGCCAUGAGUUAGGGACAAGCACAGCACAAAGGAGCAAAUUGUUACCUCCAGCACUACUGGAGAUAUUUUAUUUCUGUCCCAACCACGAGAAGACCUCAUGUACAUUUGCCUUGCAGGUUCUUUGGGUUUGAUUCCCUUGUUAAGGAAAAUUAAGCAGUAUUUUCCCUUUUUAUAUUAUUAUGUGUUUUCUGUGAGGUGCAUCUGGAUUUAAGCUUGCCACAGGGAAAUUCUCCUGGGAAUAUUCCUCCAGGAUCAGGGAGACCACCACACGGUUUUGGGUCACAGCAGGACCAUGAGGCACCUCAAGACAUCUCAAAAGACAUCUCCAACCAAGCUGGAAAUGGAGCUUGGGCCUCCUGUGUCCUUAAUCCCAGCAGCACCUUCCUCAUCCCUGUAUUUGCCUGGUCUGGGAAUCUCCCACUCCCUCACGAUGAGCACAACCCUGAGAUUAUCCCUGUCCAAUUCCUGUCAGGACACACACACACUGUCCCCAUCCCGAGCAGUGAUCCAGCUCCCUCUGGUGUGUUUGCAGAGAGGAUCCCGAGGUCAGGCACGAGGCUUUGCAGCUGAUCCCGGGGAGAGCAGCACCUCAAAGGAAAAUGUCAUUUACACCAGCAGUCCUGGGAAAUGGAACCCCCCAUUUAAUGGAGGUCAAAACACUCUGGGGCUCAGCAGCAGCUAUUUUUAGACGUCAUUAAGGUGUUAUUUUUAAACAUUAGCCAUUAAAAGCUUUCUAAUUUAAGCAGCCGGCGUUAAUUAGCCCUGCUUGCUCGGCGUCAUGUUUUCCAUGAGCCUCCCUCAGCAGUUCCAGCUGCCCCUGGUGCUCGGUAACACUUUCACUGCUGGGCACCAGCCUUCCCCUCCUGGCUGCCAAGUGGAGAAAGCAGCAGGAGCUCAACACCUUUAUCUCCAGGAGCAUCAGCAGCCUGCUGGAAACAUCUCCCUUUACAGCUCAGCUGAGGAGCAUCCAGUGGGAUCAGACUCAGCCAUUGUGGGGAAAUGAAAUGGCAGCUGGGAUGAAAACCAAUAAAAAAAAGAGAGACACCAUGUCCAUGCUCAGCCUUCAUGACCUCCAAGGCCCAUCUAAGCACCCAGUGACUGUGAAAUGAUGUGACAAUUUAUGAAACUUCUGAAUUCCCUCACCCUGCCAGCUCUUGCCAGCUUUAUUUUUAUGAGCACAAGGGCUGGAAAGACAAUUUUUCCAUCCAAACUUCAGUUUUGCCUGAUGCCUGUGCUGAACAAGAGCAGCCACGUCUGGGAUAAAUCCUUGGGCUGAAUCCAUGGGCUCUGUCCCAGCUGCCUCAGCCUUGGGAGCCACGGCUCCAGAGUAAACUCCAAACAAACAGCAGAAUCUGAUGUCACUAAUCUGGGUAUUUACCCAGGAUUAAAUAACAGAUGCAUGUUUUA